rnacentral:rRNA from 1 species
AUAAGCUUCAUUGUCAAAAGGGAAACAGCCCAGAUCACCAGUUAAGGCCCCUAAAUAAUUGCUAAGUGGUAAAGGAUGUGUUUGGACGUAGACAACCAGGAGGUUUGAUUAGAAGCAGCAAUUUUCCUUUAAAAAGUGCGUAAUAGCUUACUGGUCAAGUCCAUUCGCGCCGAUAAUGUUUGGGGCUAAGCAAUUUGCCGAAACUGUGGGUAUAACGGUAGAAGAGCGUUCUGUUAAGAUUGAAGUAAAUAUGUAAGUAUUUAUGGACUUUACAGAAGUGAGAAUGUCGGCUUAAGUAACGAAAACAUUGGUGAGAAUCCAAUGCUCCGUAAACCUAAAGGUUCCUUUGCAAGGUUCGUCCACAAAGGGUUAGUCAGGUCCUAAAAUGAAAUUGAAAAGUUUAGUUGAUGGCAAACAGGUUAAUAUUCCUGUACUACAAAACGUUAUGUUAAGAAGGACGAAAAAGGCUUAUGCUAGCCGAGUUUUGGUUUUCGGUUUAAAUUUUUAAGGCUAUGACGAAUAUAAUUAAAAAAUAUUCUGAGUUGAAAAAUGAGUAGUUUUUUGUUAAGGCAAGAAAUUAGCAGAUGUCACGUUUCCUAGAAAAGUUCUUGUAACGAGUUAACGUUUUGUACCUGUACUUGAAACUGACACAGGUAGGUGGGUAGAGAAUACCAAGGAGCGCGAGAUAACUCUUUUUAAGGAACUCGGCAAAAUGGCUUUGUAUCUUCGGUAGAAAAAGUGCCUUACUUAAACAGUAAGGUUGCAGUGAUCAGAUUCAAACGACUGCUUAUCAAAAGCACAGGUCUCCGCAAAGUUGAAAAACCAUGUAUGGGGGCUGACGCCUGCCCAGUGCCGGAAGGUGAAGGAAACUUGUUAGUUUUUUACAAAGCUUGUGACUUAAGCCCCGGUGAACGGCGGCAGUAACUAUAACUGUCCUAAGGUAGCGAAAUUCCUUGUCGGGUAAGUUCCGACCUGCACGAAAGGCGUAACGAUUUGAAUACUGUCUCAAAAAGAGACUCGGUGAAAUAGAAUUAACCGUGAAGAUGCGGUUAACUUGCACUUGGACAGAAAGACCCUAUGAAGCUUUACUGUAGUUUGAAAUUGAGUUUGGAUUUUCCUUGCGCAGAAUAGGUGGGAGGCUAUGAAGGGUUUUUUUCGGAAGAUCUUGAGCCAGAAGGUGAGAUACCACUCUUGGGAAAUUAAAACUCUAAUUGCAUUUCUUUAUUUGAAUGUUUGACAGUUUUAGAUGGGCAGUUUUACUGGGGCGGUAGCCUCCUAAAAAGUAACGGAGGCGUACAAAGGUUUCCUCAAACUGGACGGAAAUUAGUUUUAGAGUGUAAAGACAUAAGGAAGCUUAACUGUUAGACUUACAAGUCAAUCAGGGACGAAAGUCGGUCUUAGUGAUCCGACGUUACUUAAUGGAAAGGACGUCGCUCAACGGAUAAAAGUUACUCUAGGGAUAACAGGCUGAUCUUCCCCAAGAGUUCACAUCGACGGGGAGGUUUGGCACCUCGAUGUCGGCUCAUCGCAACCUGGAGCGGUAGUACGUUCCAAGGGUUGGGCUGUUCGCCCAUGAAAGCGGUACGUGAGCUGGGUUCAGAACGUCGAGAGACAGUUCGGUCCAUAUCCGGUGUAAGCGUUAGAAUAUUGAAAGGAGCUUUUUUUAGUACGAGAGGACCGAAAAAGACACAUCACUAGUAUAUCAGUUCUUGUGCCAACAGGAAACGCUGAGUAGCUACAUGUGGAGUGGAUAACUGCU